UCAGGUGUGAGCUCCUGUGGACGUCCCUGUGCUGCGUCAGGUGUGAGCUCUGGUGGACGUCCCUGUGCGUGUGCCCUGUGCUGCGUCAGGUGUGAGCUCUGGUGGACGUCCCUGUGCGUGUGCCCUGUGCUGCGUCAGGUGUGAGCUCUGGUGGACGUCCCUGUGCUGCGUCAGGUGUGAGCUCUGGUGGACGUCCCUGUGCGUGUGCCCUGUGCUGCGUCAGGUGUGAGCUCUGGUGGACGUCCCUGUGCUGCGUCAGGUGUGAGCUCUGGUGGACGUCCCUGUGCUGCGUCAGGUGUGAGCUCUGGUGGACGUCCCUGUGCGUGUGCCCUGUGCUGCGUCAGGUGUGAGCUCUGGUGGACGUCCCUGUGCUGCGUCAGGUGUGAGCUCUGGUGGACGUCCCUGUGCUGCGUCAGGUGUGAGCUCUGGUGGACGUCCCUGUGCGUGUGCCCCAAGUACUGUGACUCGGGGCCUCCCAGCUGCUCUUCUUUCCUCGCCAGCUCCCUCCUCUGCUGCACACGACAGCAGCACACCCGAUCCUUCUCAAUUCCUCUCCUUACCGGACUCCGCAUUCCAUUACUGCAGAUUCCGCGGACGCUGCCUCCUGAGCACCCCCACCCUGGCCUAUCUCCGUCUCCACUGCCACCGCAUCUCCACCUUUUCUGGACCACGCCAAGGGCCCCCUGCCUCUCCAGAGGGUUGGCUCUUUGUGGCCAGCAAGCUGGUAACAGGAAACCAUGACCGAACUCCAGAAACCGGCCCUUGGCGCAGCCUGGGUCACAGUGAGGCUCGGGACUCCCGUGCUGGGAAGGACGGGGCCGCCCAGAGCUCCCAGCUGACACUCCCUUGGCUGAGAGGGAGUAGCAAAAGCAAUGGAGGAAGUUUGUGGAAAACAUUAAAAUGAAGUCUCUGACCAUAAAUUAGGCAUCAGUUGGAAAAAAAUUAAUUUUAAUCACAUAGAACUAUUUUAACCUUAAGGACAUCUUAACCCGGGAUUCUGUUUCUAACCAAAAUUCAGAGAAAUGGGCAGCAAUGGUAAUUCUGCAACUCGCCAGAGAAAUACUGGAUGGAUUUGAAACUGAGGCCUUUUCAGCUGGCCAGACCUUAAAUUACA